AGCAGCCGCGGUAAUUCCAGCUCCAAUAGCGUAUAUUAAAGUUGUUGCAGUUAAAAAGCUCGUAGUUGAAUUUCGGGGUUAGUAGGUUGGUCAUGCCUCUGGUAUGUACUGGUCUCACUGAUUCCUCCCUCCUGAUGAACCUUAAUGCCAUUAAUUUGGUGUUUUGGGGAAUUUGGACUGUUACUUUGAAAAAAUUAGAGUGUUUAAAGCAAGCUAACGCUUGAAUACAUUAGCAUGGAAUAAUGAAAUAGGACGUUCGAUCCUAUUUUGUUGGUUUCUAGGAUUGACGUAAUGAUUAAUAGGGAUAGUUGGGGGCAUUAGUAUUCAAUUGUCAGAGGUGAAAUUCUUGGAUUUAUUGAAGACUAACUACUGCGAAAGCAUUUGCCAAGGAUGUUUUCAUUAAUCAAGAACGAAAGUUAGGGGAUCGAAGACGAUCAGAUACCGUCGUAGUCUUAACCAUAAACUAUGCCGACUAGGGAUCGGAUGAUGUUAAUUUUUUAAUGACUCA
rnacentral:rRNA from 1 species